rnacentral:rRNA from 1 species
GAUCCUGGCUCAGAAUCAACGCUGGCGGCGUGCUUAACACAUGCAAGUCGAGCGCGAAAGCGGCUUCGGCCGUGAGUAGAGCGGCGGACGGGUGAGUAACACGUGGGUAACCUGCCCUCGGGUGGGGAAUAACCUAGGGAAACCUGGGCUAAUUCCGCGUAACAUCCAGGACUCGAAAGAGUUCUGGAUCAAAGCUGGGGACCCUUCGGGGCCUGGCGCCUGAGGAGGGGCCCGCGGCCGAUUAGCUUGUUGGUGAGGUAACGGCUCACCAAGGCUUCGAUCGGUAGCCGGCUUGAGAGGGCUGACGGCCACACUGGGACUGAGACACGGCCCAGACUCCUACGGGAGGCAGCAGUGGGGAAUUUUUGGCAAUGGGGGCAACCCUGACCAAGCAACGCCGCGUGGAGGAUGAAGACCCUCGGGUCGUAAACUCCUGUCGGAGGGGACGAAAGCGGGCGUAGUUAAUACCUGCGCCCGUUGACGGUACCCUACGAGGAAGCCCCGGCUAACUCCGUGCCAGCAGCCGCGGUAAUACGGGGGGGGCAAGCGUUGUUCGGAAUUAUUGGGCGUAAAGGGCGCGUAGGCGGCCCGGCAAGUCCCUUGUGAAAUCCCACAGCUCAACUGUGGAAUUGCGUGGGAUACUGCCAGGCUUGAGUCCGGGAGAGGAGAGUGGAAUUCCCAGUGUAGCGGUGAAAUGCGUAGAUAUUGGGAGGAACACCGGUGGCGAAGGCGGCUCUCUGGACCG